AUCCUUCUCAGAUCAAUGAGAUAUGAUGAGUUGGUUAACACGCAGUAAUGCGUGAAACGUGUGACACCAAACCUUGUUACGCAUAUGCACGAGAACCAUCUGAUC